rnacentral:rRNA from 1 species
UGAGGAAUAUUGGGCAAUGCCCGCAAGGGUGACCCAGCAACGCCGCGUGGAGGAUGAAUGUCGUAAGACUGUAAACUCCUGUUAGAGGGGAAGAAUAGUACCGGUUGGACCGGUAUAUGACUGUACCCUCAGAGAAAGCCCCGGCUAACUACGUGCCAGCAGCCGCGGUAAUACGUAGGGGGCAAGCGUUGUCCGGAUUUACUGGGUGUAAAGGGCGCGCAGGCGGGAUAAAAAGUCAGUGGUGAAAUCCUACAGCUUAACUGCAGAACUGCCUUUGAUACUUUUAGUCUUGAGUUCGGGAGAGAGAGACGGAAUUCCAGGUGUAGUGGUGAAAUACGUAGAUAUCUGGAAGAACACCAGUUGCGAAGGCGGUCUCUUGGUCCGACACUGACGCUGAGGCGCGAAAGCGUGGGGAGCAAACA